CCUACGGGUGGCAGCAGUAGGGAAUAUUGCUCAAUGGGGGAAACCCUGAAGCAGCAACGCCGCGUGGAGGAUGAAGGUUUUCGGAUUGUAAACUCCUUUUGUUAGAGAAGAGAAUGACGGUAUCUAACGAAUAAGCACCGGCUAACUCCGUGCCAGCAGCCGCGGUAAUACGGGAGGUGCAAGCGUUACUCGGAAUCACUGGGCGUAAAGAGCGCGUAGGCGGGGUAGCAAGUCAGAUGUGAAAUCCUUGGGCUUAACCAUAGAACUGCAUUUGAAACUGUUAUUCUAGAGUAUGGGAGAGGUAGGUGGAAUUCUCGGUGUAGCGGUAAAAUCCGGAGAGAUCAAGAGGAAUACACAUUGCGAAGGCAUCUCACGACUCCGCAAUUGACGCUGAUGCACGAAAGCGUGGGUAUCAAACAGGAUUAGAUACCCUUGUAGUC
rnacentral:rRNA from 1 species